rnacentral:rRNA from 1 species
UACGGGGGGGGCAAGCGUUGUUCGGAAUUACUGGGCGUAAAGGGCUCGUAGGUGGCCAACUAAGUCAGACGUGAAAUCCCCAGGCUCAACUUGGGAACUGCGUCUGAUACUGGAUGGCUUGAAUUCGGGAGAGGGAUGCAGAAUUCCAGGUGUAGCGGUGAAAUGCGUAGAUAUCUGGAGAAAUACCGGUGGCGAAGGCGGCAUCCUGGACCGAGAUUGACACUGAUGAGCGAAAGCUAGGGGAGCAAACGGG